UUAACAACAAGUCAUCUAAAAUUAACAUACAUAAAUUUAAUUGUUUAAAAAUUAUCAAAUUAAUAUCAUAGCUUCUAAACCUGUGUAUAUUCUCUUUUUUUUUUUUUUUACAAAGUAAGAAGUAUGUAUUAAAAAUUCUACGGAUUCAAAUUAUUACAACAAGAAUUAAAAAACCUCAAAAACACAAGACCCAUCCAGAAAAGCCCACCCAAAUAGCAACCCUGACACGACAGCAAACCAUAUUUACUUCUUUUUUGUUGUUUCGUUGUUAUUCCUUAUGUUUUCACUCAUGUUUCUUGAAAUUUCAAUUUAGGCUUUUACUAAAAUCAGUAUUCUUUUUCCACAAUUUUGAAUUCUUGGAUAUAAAAAAACAAUCAGCCCAUGGAACCACAAGAGUGGCAUCCUUCAAAGGCUUUUUAAGGUCUUGAGUUCUUACAAGAAGAGUCACAAGGAAACUCAGACAAGGAAUUGAGAAAAUCUGAGAGGCCUGUUGUUAGUGAACAGAAAGCUGAUGAAGAUUUCCUUCUUGGAAGUUCGAACAAGACAAAUGAAAGGCCAAGGUGCCUCAAGUGGAGCAGGAUUUUCUUUCCCUUAAUGACAAGUUUAGUUUUCAUGGGUGUGAAAUUUGGAAAUUUGGGAAAUUUUAGUUCUCUUUUAAAUUUGGGAAUGAUGCUAAUGCUAUUGGUUCAAUCGAAAUGCUAAUGGAAAUUUGGGAAAUUUUAGUUCAAUCGAAAUUAAUUC
rnacentral:lncRNA from 1 species